rnacentral:rRNA from 1 species
UCCUACGGGAGGCAGCAGUAAGGAAUAUUGGUCAAUGGGCGCAAGCCUGAACCAGCCAUGCCGCGUGCAGGAAGACGGCCCUCCGGGUUGUAAACUGCUUUUGUACGGGAAUAAACCUCGCUACGUGUAGUGAGCUGAAUGUACCGUAAGAAUAAGGAUCGGCUAACUCCGUGCCAGCAGCCGCGGUAAUA